rnacentral:lncRNA from 1 species
AAAAAGGAAGAGGGGCCACCAAGAUAUUUACUUACCCUUAGACAUUUUGAUUGGUUCAAACCGGGAAGGUGGUAGCAAUUUGUGUCUGACUUUGUCUUUUAUGAGAGCAAACACAGGCGAAAAUGUGCUCACCACGCAAAAAUGAUAACCUUGAAUUCUCUUCCAACGAAGCUUCAAAAAAGUCAUCCUUCAAAUUAACCCUCGUUGUCAAGGUAAGUUGGCCGAGGAGUUUGAGCUUUAAUGGAGUGAGCACAUCUGCCCCGCCCAGGGCCAACUUGCGAGAGAUCACAUGCCCUCUCAAAUCUC